CAUGAUGUAGCUUAAAU
rnacentral:tRNA from 1 species